CUGCAGAAGAGUGGGGUGGGCACUCUGUACACGCUGGCUGUGAGGACAGAUGAAUUCUGCUGGAACAGGGUGGAAGAGGACUUUGUGGAUGGGGUGAUGUUGACUCAAGAUCAUGAAGGACAAGUAAAGUUCACUGGGGACAACACUGAGGGGAAGCCACGAAUCUCUCCAGAAAAAGCCUGAUCUGAGAAGGCAGCGUGUUUUGUGAGGAUGAACAAGGGACAGGACGGCCGCUUUACCACCUUAACGUUCAAAAGGAGGAAACACGCCAAAAUCACGGAGAGCAUCUGUGAUCCACGAUCCUUGAUGCAGACAUAGCAGAGAGUACGAGAAGAACGAAGAAAAAGAGAAAAGAAUGUUCAGGAACAUUCUCAGGUGCAAAAGGACGGAGCUCUGAAGAGUUGGAUUGGCCUAACUGAUUGGCCCAAGACAUUACAGAGGCAGAAGCAGGCAGUGGAAUCACCAGCCCAAGGUCACCUUGCUAUAGGGAGGACUUUCAAAGGGUUGGAACCCAAGCUCCGUGGUUUGGAAAGCCAGCCUGGCCCGGUUCUCCUGACCACGGGAGCAGGCCCACUAGUUCAACGGGGCCUCGUCUGCCAAGUCCGUGGCAUGCCUAGGGCUGCUGGGUGAGUUCAUGCUCCAUCCCGGAAGGGCCGGGGCCUCUGGGACGCAAUCAGAACUCCAGGAAACUCGGCGCGGGAAAGGCUGUGAGUGGCUGCUUGGGGUUUGGCUCCUGGCCUGGCCAACCCCAGCCAGCCGGCCAUGCCCAGCCAACGGACUCUGUGGGCAGACUUUUCAGAGUUGUGCGGACAGCCCAGUAGCAGCGAUAUUGAAAACAUUGCCUUGGGGCGCCUGGGUGGCUCAG